rnacentral:rRNA from 1 species
GACGAACGCUGGCGGCGUGCUUAACACAUGCAAGUCGAACGGAAAGGCCCUGCUUUUGUGGGGUGCUCGAGUGGCGAACGGGUGAGUAACACGUGAGUAACCUGCCCUUGACUUUGGGAUAACUUCAGGAAACUGGGGCUAAUACCGGAUAGGAGCUCCUGCUGCAUGGUGGGGGUUGGAAAGUUUCGGCGGUUGGGGAUGGACUCGCGGCUUAUCAGCUUGUUGGUGGGGUAGUGGCUUACCAAGGCUUUGACGGGUAGCCGGCCUGAGAGGGUGACCGGCCACAUUGGGACUGAGAUACGGCCCAGACUCCUACGGGAGGCAGCAGUGGGGAAUAUUGCACAAUGGGCUGAAGCCUGAUGCAGCAACGCCGCGUGCGGGAUGACGGCCUUCGGGUUGUAAACCGCUUUCGCCUUUGACGAAGCGUGAGUGACGAUAAUUGGUAAAGAAGCACCGGCUAACUACGUG